AUGUGAAUGCAUCUUGAUUAGAUUUUUAGCCGACGAAAACGAUCUAGGUGAUCGUCCGCUACCCACACCAAGGCUCACGGAAGUAAGUUUUGUCCUCCAUGAACUGGCUGACCUGGUGGUUCAUGCAGACACUGCGUCUAUUUUUUUCUCUAUGCCCGCAUCUGAAAACUGGCCUAGCUGAGGGGAACCGCAAAAACCGAUCACAUCUGCUGCUUCUUUUCCCCACCCUCUGUGAACUAGUUGUAUCAAGGGAAGCUAGAGUGAGAGAGUUGGUACCAGUUUUGCUCAAACUCAUCGCCGAGGAACUCACAUUAGAAAAGGUUAUCACUAGCUCUUGAGAACAA